rfam:Nomascus leucogenys chromosome 22a, whole genome shotgun sequence.
ACUCUGGUUUCUCUUCAGAUCAUAUAAAUCUUUUGCCUUUUACUGAAGAUUUCCGUGGAGGGAACAGUCUUUACCCAAUUUUUUUAGGCCUCUUGUUUAAAGAUUUU